GAAGGGUUUGGGCACGAGGACAAAGGUGAUUUUGCAACUUCACCAAAGUAUUUCAGCUUAUGGAUUGGUUCAUGGUGGAUUUGAAUUGACACGCGGAGUUGCUUGGGUGAAGUUGAUGACUGUGUGCAUUGCAGGACUACAACAACAAAAUGGUGCAAUUACAUCUAAUUGUGACUUUGAAAUAGAAAAAAGGCUUUUGAAUUGGUAAUGGGAGGUGACUAUUUGUGCUUGAAUAAAGGCUUGCCAUUGCCAUUGCCGCUGUUGUGGGACAGAGCCAAUGUAUAUGUACAGAAGUUGUGAACAACACAGAAUGUUGACUGACUUUGAAGGUGCUACAAGAAGAAGCGAAGUAGGGUUCCGCAUUUGGACUAGCAAAGAGUUCCACCAGUACCAGGUUGUUGGGAGGAAGCUCCCUACAGCAUCUGAUGAGCACCCCAAGACUUACCGAAUGAAGCUUUGGGCCACCAAUGAGGUUCGCCCAAGUCCAAGUUCUGGUAUUUCCUGAGGAAGCUGAAGAAGGUCAAGAAGAGCAAUGGCUAAGUGCUUGCCAUUAAUGAGUGGGGAAGUGGUUCCUCCUCAACUCUCCUCCUGGCGAAAUCCAAUUUGUUGCCAAAGAUGUGAAGGAGGCUGCGCCAUAGGCAUCCCCUCGAAAUGCCCGGUUGAAUUGGAGACCUUGCAGGGCUUGGAUUGUGCAUCGAGCACUGAAGAGCUUGGAUUGUGCUUCAAAUACUGAAGUUGUUGUGGCACUGGAACACCAAGGAGUUUGUAAGUGAAAGGAGCUGCCAGCAAAGGGCUAAUCUUCUACAAGUGGUGACUCAUAUUUUUGUUUUUUGUAUGCUCAAUGAUUCUUUGGCACUUCUUACUUUGGCAUUUAAUUAACUACCAUACAUUUGAUUUGUGGUGAUAUUUGGCUGAUUCUGUUUAUUUGCUUUCUCGGGAAACAGAGGAAGAGGAAGAAAAAGUAAAAAUGGGCAUCCAACAUUCAAAAACUUUUAUGCUCUUAUUCUCUGUUUUAGAAACACUUGCUUUGGUCUCUAUCAAAAGCAAUCAAUUCCUCAAUUGUUGUUAGGGUCACCCUAAAUUGUGUAAUGAUCUGUUGUUAAUAUUUGCUUUUUUAUUAAUUUUUUGUCUUCAUGUGUUUU